AUGUAGAAUAUAUAGACACAUAUAGUUAGGUAACUCUACGUUGUGUAUUAUUCAUAACUAAUUUUUAAUUUGUUAUUUGUAUUUUUGUCGUAUGUUGUUUCCAGAAUAGUUUAGUUUAUGCUAUUCAAAAUGAUGAAAUACCUUGUUCUCACUAAGCAGUGUAUAAUUUUACAUGACUAUGUCCAUGGAAGUGCUAUAAUAAUGAUGCCACUAUCUCUCAAUUUCUGUUUGGCUAACUUCGUCUAAACCGCAACACUAGGUGAUUAUCACAUUUUUGAUUUCUACACAUCAAAAUAAAUUGAUUUAUGAACACUAUAAGAUUAAUGUUUAAUGGAAACAUCCACAUAGUGAUUUCCAUGAAAAUCAAUGAAUAACUUUUCCAUUAUGUUUGCAACUUUGAUUAAUUUACUGGAUGGAUAUGUCAAUCCUCCUUUAGACAGAUAUCUAAUCCAAUUUUCAUCAUUGGUGGUUGGCUGUUCUGAUACCAUUAGAGGAUAUUUUUUAGAAAAUUUAGAUGCAACAUAUCCUACGACAUAUUGUAAACCUUCCUUCUCAAGGCCAUUGAAGGAAUCAUUGUCAUUCAUGUCAAAGGCCUUAUAUACCUCAGAUUCAAACUGAUUUAACAAAUCCAUAUAAGACUUUGAAAUUUGAAUAUUGCUUGUUCCAAAAGUUGAUUCAAUUUGAGCC